UCCCGCUAUGCUCUUAUCUGGGACAUCAUUCUGCGUGACGGAGGAAGCCAUUCUCAUUUCUCAGCGCUUUGUCUCCGAACUCGCAUCAUAUCAACCUCGCCUGAACUCUCUACUCUGCACAAUGCCGCUUCUCCACUCAAAAUUGGCAGUUCCAUGCCCAGCCCUCAUCUGUGAUCCGAACAAACUUCUGUGCCCACUUUUUGGGCAUGUUGCGGACGUCAAAUUCGUGCAAUUCAUUUGUCCAAAGCGGAGCAAUUCACCUCCCUUUGCGAUGAUCUCUUCCACCACCAUGCUUGACCCCCUCAGAUCAUCAAAGAAGAGGGUUGAUCCGGUAGAGACAUCUGGAUCGCGGGAAUGUGGCUGGUCAGAAGUCACGGCAGGUGCUCCUGAUAAUAACUGCGAGGAAGGAAAACUAAAUAGCGAGAUCGUCUCCUCAGGAUGUUUUAAUGACAAGAGCUAUAAGGAAAGUGAGAGAAGGAGAAAAAUUGGAGAAGCCAACAAAGGGAAAGUGCCAUGGAAUGUUGGGAUAAGACAUAGUGAAGAGACUCGAAUGCGAAUCAAGCAGAGAACAAUUGAAGCAUUGAGAGAUCCCAAGAUCAGGCAGAAGAUGUCUGAACAUCCCCGUACUCACAGUGAUUUGAUCAAAGCAAAGAUUGGCUCUUCACUUCGGUACAUUUGGAAAGAGCGUUUGAAGCGUAGAAGAUUGAAAGAGAAAUUCUUCUCAUCAUGGGCAGAUAACAUAGCAGAGGCAGCUAAGACAGGAUGGAGUGAUCAGAGAGAACUGGACUGGGAUAGCUAUGACAAAUUAAAGCAUGAAAUCGAUUUCCAACAUCUUCAUCGGCUUGCUGAAAAGGAAAGAGCUAAAAGUAUGGCAAAGAUGAGGGCUCAUAAAGAAGCAGCAGAGGCAAAAGCAGAAAAGAUGGCUAGGCUUGCUCAGAAGAGAAAAGAAAGGGAGGAAAAAGCAAAAGAACGAGGAAAGACGAAAAGAGUAUCAUGCAGUAGAGCAAAGAAGAAGAAAAAUGACUUAGCAGUCGAUCAGGGGAUGAAGCUUAAGAAGAGUUUGCUGAAGAUUAACCGAAAGAGAUCCUUAAAAGUUGUCCAAGUCACUGGUCAAGUGGAUGCAGUUCUUUCUCAUAUUCCAGCUUGGGAGAAACUGGAUUUAGAUCAUAUCAUGAGAGAAAAGGCACAAAGGAAACCUUCACUGGCUGAUCAGAUACAAGCGGCCAAAAAUCAAAGCAAAGUUCACAACUUAGAGGCUCUUCUCAUGCCAUCUUCUGUUCAUUCAUCCAGUGAGAAAUGAAGUCUCUGAGCUAUGCAUGCAAAGUUGCUGUGUCUUGUCUUACUGAAACAUGUUAUUGUGAAAGCAAAGGUGAUCAUUUUCUUAAUGAUGAAGAAUCUGCCCAUUCCAGCUAUAUAUUAUGCUGCAUAAUGCAAUCCCUUUGUGCCAAGUGUCAUUAAUUGUUGUUGCUGAUUUUACCAGCUGACACUUGAGCUGGAAACUUGAUUGGUUGACCUGAGAAUCAAGAUGUGACACAGAGAUGUUGGAUAUGUUCGACAUCAUUGCUAUUUGGAGGUCACCUCAGUAAACAAAAGGCGACCUUCUUUAAUUACCCUGACACAUAUGGUUGCUUGGCUCCGUUCCUGGUGUUUGUCAUAUAUUAUGCGCGCUAGGGAAUUGUCUCGCAUCUCUCUCUCCCCCCAUGCAUCCGUGUGUCCUCUCCACUGUGCUUGCAGUGAGUUGCAGGACCCUUGGCUGCGGAGCUGGAAGAAGAACCGGCUAGUGAAGCCGAAUGUCCUUCAGAAUUCAUUCAAAACUUGUUUGUGCUUAUGGCACUUAUAAAUUAGAUGUCAGAAAGCGCAAGCAAUUCAGGACAAAGAAACUUGUCGAUGCGAGUCUCUAUAAUCCACAUUAAUUUUUUCAA